rnacentral:rRNA from 1 species
CGCAUCUGUGCAUGCAGCAUAUCAAUAAGCGGAGGAAAAGAAACUAACAAGGAUUCCCUUAGUAACGGCGAGUGAAGCGGGAAGAGCUCAAAUUUGAAAUCUUCAAGGUUUUACCUUGACGAAUUGUAGUUUAAAGAAGUGUUUUCUGCUGAAGUUUUGGUAAAAGUUCUUUGGAAUAGGACAUCAUAGAGGGUGAGAAUCCCGUAUUUGACCAUUAUUUUCAGCUUUGUGAUACACUUUCAAAGAGUCGGAUUGUUUGGGAAUGCAGUCCAAAAUGGGUGGUAAAUUUCAUCUAAAGCUAAAUAUUGGCGAGAGACCGAUAGCGAACAAGUACCGUGAGGGAAAGAUGAAAAGAACUUUGAAAAGAGAGUUAAACAGUACGUGAAAUUGUCAAAAGGGAGCGUUUGACACCAGUGUUGUUUUCUCGAAAAUCAAUUAAAAAUGGCUCGAUUUUGUAUUGCUGAGACCUUAAAAGCUCACUGUACAUUUUUCGUGUCUUUUUUAAUGCACUUUUCGUUUAACAAGUCAACAUCAGUUUCUUUUGUUGUAAAAGGGUCAUUGGAAGGUGGCUUUCUUUUCGGAGAAAGUGUUUAUAGCCUUUGGCCUCUGCAAUCGAAGAGACUGAGGUCUGCAGCGUAGACUCUUCGGGGUUAGAUACAUUUGUGCUAAGGUAUAGCUUUUUAUAGACAACUUGUUGACUAUAAUUAGUCUUGUAGCUUGACUCGCUUAUGCUAUUUUACCUACGCUUAGGAUGUUGACGCAUGAGAUAUACGC